UCUUGACUCCACGCACAGCAAACGUGAAUCCAGCUUUAAAGCUCAAACACACUGACAUGCGACAACUACACUACAAAUUACACUUCAUCCACCAUUUAAUGCUUCUGUUCCCAGUUGACUGACUCCAACAGGAAUAGGUGUGGUAAUAUGUGCUCUUAUUAUUAGAAUGUUAUGGGAUUAAGGUGACAUGUCAUAACUAGUUCAUCACAUUUUAUCAUUGGUGCAACUGGCAACUGCUUUUCUGAACCAACAUACACCCACAUCUGCUCCCUGAACCUGUUUGAUAUCUGUCAGCAGAUUGAGGUGUAAUUCUGGAUUAGCCAUUCCAAAAUGAAUCCCUGCGAUGCUGAAACCCUGUUGUGACUGUGAUGUUCAUCCCCAGGGGACAGGAAGCACACAUGAUGCUGGCCUGUCUCACAGUAGAUCUCCAUCAGCUUGUUGUGCUCCGUGCACAUCUUAUCCUGGAGGGGAAUUAAAGCCAAGACCAGCUGGUGGGUCUUCAACACAGGAACGCUGUAGUGGGCUGUGAGAACGGGCCUGGGUUCACAGGCCUCCCUGCACAGAGGGCAGCUGUACUGGACCUUCUCCUCUUCAGCAGCUCUUAGUGCAGCUCGGUAACUGUCCACACAGACGAGACGCUGGUCCUUUGAGCAGCUCCAAACACACU